UGGACAACCUACCCUUAGGUCGGGGAUAAACCCGGGAAACUGGGUAUAAUACCCGAUAGUCCUCGGAUGCUGGAAUGCACCGAGGUCUAAAGCUCCGGCGCCUAAGGAUGGGUCUGCGGCCUAUCAGGUAGUAGUGGGUGUAGCGUACCUACUAGCCUACGACGGGUACGGGUUGUGAGAGCAAGAGCCCGGAGAUGGAUUCUGAGACACGAAUCCAGGCCCUACGGGGUGCAGCAGGCGCGAAAACUUUACAAUGCUGGAAACAGCGAUAAGGGGACCUCGAGUGCCAGGUUACAAAUCUGGCUGUCGUGAUGCCUAAAAAGCAUUGCAUAGCAAGGGCCGGGCAAGACCGGUGCCAGCCGCCGCGGUAACACCGGCGGCUCGAGUGGUAACCGCUAUUAUUGGGUCUAAAGGGUCUGUAGCCGGCCGGAUAAGUCUUUUGGGAAAUCUGGCAGCUUAACUGUCAGGCUUUCAGAGGAUACUGUCUGGCUCGAGGCCGGGAGAGGUGAGAGGUACUUC
rnacentral:rRNA from 1 species